rnacentral:rRNA from 1 species
AGCGAACGUUAGCGGCGGGCCUAACACAUGCAAGUCGAGCGAGAAAAGGGCUUCGGCUCUUAGUAAAGCGGCGGACGGGUGAGUAACACGUAGGUAAUCUUCCCUUGAGCGGGGGACAACGAGCCGAAAGGCUCGCUAAUACCGCAUAAGUUUCUCGGGACUCUGGUCCUGGGAAGGAAAGCUAGGCCGCAAGGUCCGGCACUCGAGGAGGAGCCUGCGUCGCAUCAGCUAGUUGGUGGGGUAANGGCCUACCAAGGCGAAGACGCGUAGCUGGUCUGAGAGGAUGAUCAGCCACACUGGGACUGAGACACGGCCCAGACUCCUACGGGAGGCAGCAGUGGGGAAUAUUGGACAAUGGGCGCAAGCCUAGAUCCAGCCACGCCGCGUGAGUGAUGAAGGCC